rnacentral:rRNA from 1 species
UACAGAGGGUGCAAGCGUUGUUCGGAAUUAUUGGGCGUAAAGGGCGCGUAGGCGGGUGCGGUAAGUCUGCGGUGAAAUCUCCCGGCUCAACUGGGAGCUGCCGUGGAAACUGCCGUGCUUGAGGUGUGGGAGAGGUGAGUGGAAUUCCCGGUGUAGGCAGGUGAAAUGCGUAGAUAUCAGGAGGACACCGGUGGUGUAGACGGCUCACUGGACCGUAACUGACGCUGAGACACGAAAGCGUGGGUACGCAAACAGG